GGGGAGUCAGCCCAAGCAGGGGCCAGCCGGUCGCAGAAGACUGGGGAGAAAGUCCUGCUGGGCAGCCGUCGCACCGCCCCCAAGCCCCCCGGCGCCUCCGGAGCAGGGGGGGGCAGAACAAAGACAGACAGUCACACACCCGCGGGUGCAGCUGCAGACACACAGACCCGACCGCAGGGAGACAGGAUAAAAACGAACUCCACCAGCGGUGUAUCAAGUUAUCCUCGUAGAGGAGCAGGAGCAGGAGGUGCAGGUGGGGGAGGAGGGGGGAGAGAGAGAGGCCCAGGCACAGCCACUGGCCGAGGAAGAGGAGGAGGAGCGGGAAGAGGAGGAGGAAGAGGAGGUGGAGGAGGUGGAGGAGGAGGUGGAGGUGGAGGAGGAGGAGGAGGAGGAAGAGGGGGAGGAGGAGGAGGAGGAGAAGGAGAGGUGUCAAAGCGAGGAGGUCGGCUCUGUGAGGGCCGGGUGAGGAAUGGACCUCCGCCGGCGGCGACUGGAGCUCACAAAGUAAAGACGCAGAAGGUGGAGGACAAAGGGAAGGCGGCGUCCAGAACCGGGGACCGUGGCAAAAGAUCCACCGGAGCGGCUGGAGGGGGCGGCAAGGUGAGCAACCUUCUCACGGGCCCCAACAUUUGUGUGGCGUCAAUGGUGGUCCCUCGCACCCCCGUCGCUCCACGAAAGCAGAGACCCAAAGACCCGGAGAAGACGCAAGACAAGACGGGGUCCCACGACAACCGAGGGGCCCAAGACAAGACGGGUUCCCGCGACAACAGAGUGUCCCAAGACAAGACGGGUUCCCGUGACAACCGAGGGUCCCAGAACAAGCGGCAGAGGCAGCAGGAGGAGCAGCGCAGGAGAGAAGCUACAGGUGACCCAUCAAUUCCUAGUGUGCCCUAUUAUUCCACCGAAAUGAACAAAAAACAAAUGGGCCGUUUCUGCAGUUGGGGAGCGGGAAAUUACAUCCAUCCUAUCAGUUACAUUGUUUUCUAUCAAAACAGGAUAUAA
rnacentral:lncRNA from 1 species